AACCUUUGCUUUGCUCAUUGACUUUUGGAAACUAGUGAAUGUGGUGUCAAAAGGCGCAAACUAAUGCUUCACAGGCUUUUCCUGCCCUUAAAUAUGUUAAAAAUUAUCUGUACAACUUGGGGGGAGGGUUGACUGAGAGGGAGAGAA